rnacentral:rRNA from 1 species
ACGGCAGCACGGGUGCUUGCACCUGGUGGCGAGUGGCGAACGGGUGAGUAAUAUAUCGGAACGUAUCCGGAAGUGGGGGAUAGCUCGGCGAAAGCCGGAUUAAUACCGCAUAUGCCCUGAGGGGGAAAGAGGGGGAUCCGCAAGGACCUCUUGCUUUCGGAGCGGCCGAUAUCAGAUUAGCUAGUUGAUGGGGUAAAGGCCCACCAAGGCUUCGAUCUGUAGCGGGUCUGAGAGGAUGAUCCGCCACACUGGGACUGAGACACGGCCCAGACUCCUACGGGAGGCAGCAGUGGGGAAUUUUGGACAAUGGGCGCAAGCCUGAUCCAGCCAUGCCGCGUGAGUGAAGAAGGCCUUCGGGUUGUAAAGCUCUUUCAGCCGGAAAAAAAUCGCAACGCCUAAUACGUGUUGUGGAUGAUGGUACCGGCAGAAGAAGCACCGGCUAACUACGUGCCAGCAGCCGCGGUAAUACGUAGGGUGCGAGCGCUAAUCGGAAUUACUGGGCGUAAAGGGUGCGCAGGCAGUUUGGCAAGCCAGAUGUGAAAUCCCCGGGCUUAACCUGGGAACUGCAUUUGGGACUGCCAGACUAGAGUGUAGCAGAGGGGGGUAGAAUUCCACGCGUAGCAGUGAAAUGCGUAGAGAUGUGGAGGAAUACCGAUGGCGAAGGCAGCCCCCUGGGCUAACACUGACGCUCACGCACGAAAGCGUGGGGAGCAAACAGGAUUAGAUACCCU